rnacentral:rRNA from 1 species
GAUGAACGCUGGCGGCGUGCCUAAUACAUGCAAGUCGAGCGAACAGAUGAGGAGCUUGCUCCUCUGACGUUAGCGGCGGACGGGUGAGUAACACGUGGAUAACCUACCUAUAAGACUGGGAUAACUUCGGGAAACCGGAGCUAAUACCGGAUAAUAUAUUGAACCGCAUGGUUCAAUAGUGAAAGACGGUUUUGCUGUCACUUAUAGAUGGAUCCGCGCCGCAUUAGCUAGUUGGUAAGGUAACGGCUUACCAAGGCAACGAUGCGUAGCCGACCUGAGAGGGUGAUCGGCCACACUGGAGCUGAGACACGGUCCAGACUCCUACGGGAGGCAGCAGUAGGGAAUCUUCCGCAAUGGGCGAAAGCCUGACGGAGCAACGCCGCGUGAGUGAUGAAGGUCUUCGGAUCGUAAAGCUCUGUUAUUAGGGAAGAACAAAUGUGUAAGUAACUAUGCACGUCUUGACGGUACCUAAUCAGAAAGCCACGGCUAACUACGUG